rnacentral:rRNA from 1 species
GACGAACGCUGGCGGCGUGCUUAACACAUGCAAGUCGUACGGUAAGGCCCUUUCGGGGGUACACGAGUGGCGAACGGGUGAGUAACACGUGAGUAACCUGCCCACAACUUUGGGAUAACGCUAGGAAACUGGUGCUAAUACUGGAUAUGUGCUCCUGCUGCAUGGUGGGGGUUGGAAAGCUCCGGCGGUUGUGGAUGGACUCGCGGCCUAUCAGCUUGUUGGUGGGGUAGUGGCCUACCAAGGCGGCGACGGGUAGCCGGCCUGGGAGGGUGACCGGCCACAUUGGGACUGAGAUACGGCCCAGACUCCUACGGGAGGCAGCAGUGGGGAAUAUUGCACAAUGGGCGCAAGCCUGAUGCAGCAACGCCGCGGGCGGGAUGACGGCCUUCGGGUUGUAAACCGCCUUCAGCAGGGACGAAGCUUUUUGUGACGGUACCUGCAGAAGAAGCACCGGCUAACUACGUG